rnacentral:rRNA from 1 species
GAUGAACGCUGGCGGCGUGCCUAAUACAUGCAAGUCGAGCGAACGGACGAGAAGCUUGCUUCUCUGAUGUUAGCGGCGGACGGAUGAGUAACACGUGGAUAACCUACCUAUAAGACUGGGAUAACUUCGGGAAACCGGAGCUAAUACCGGAUAAUAUUUUGAACCGCAUGGUUCAAAAGUGAAAGACGGUCUUGCUGUCACUUAUAGAUGGAUCCGCGCUGCAUUAGCUAGUUGGUAAGGUAACGGCUUACCAAGGCAACGAUGCAUAGCCGACCUGAGAGGGUGAUCGGCCACACUGGAACUGAGACACGGUCCAGACUCCUACGGGAGGCAGCAGUAGGGAAUCUUCCGCAAUGGGCGAAAGCCUGACGGAGCAACGCCGCGUGAGUGAUGAAGGUCUUCGGAUCGUAAAACUCUGUUAUUAGGGAAGAACAUAUGUGUAAGUAACUGCGCACAUCUUGACGGUACCUAAUCAGAAAGCCACGGCUAACUACGUGCCAGCAGCCGCGGUAAUACGUAGGUGGCAAGCGUUAUCCGGAAUUAUUGGGCGUAAAGCGCGCGUAGGCGGUUUUUUAAGUCUGAUGUGAAAGCCCACGGCUCAACCGUGGAGGGUCAUUGGAAACUGGAAAACUUGAGUGCAGAAGAGGAAAGUGGAAUUCCAUGUGUAGCGGUGAAAUGCGCAGAGAUAUGGAGGAACACCAGUGGCGAAGGCGACUUUCUGGUCUGUAACUGACGCUGAUGUGCGAAAGCGUGGGGAUCAAACAGGAUUAGAUACCCUGGUAGUCCACGCCGUAAACGAUGAGUGCUAAGUGUUAGGGGGUUUCCGCCCCUUAGUGCUGCAGCUAACGCAUUAAGCACUCCGCCUGGGGAGUACGACCGCAAGGUUGAAACUCAAAGGAAUUGACGGGGACCCGCACAAGCGGUGGAGCAUGUGGUUUAAUUCGAAGCAACGCGAAGAACCUUACCAAAUCUUGACAUCCUUUGACAACUCUAGAGAUAGAGCUUUCCCCUUCGGGGGACAAAGUGACAGGUGGUGCAUGGUUGUCGUCAGCUCGUGUCGUGAGAUGUUGGGUUAAGUCCCGCAACGAGCGCAACCCUUAAGCUUAGUUGCCAUCAUUAAGUUGGGCACUCUAAGUUGACUGCCGGUGACAAACCGGAGGAAGGUGGGGAUGACGUCAAAUCAUCAUGCCCCUUAUGAUUUGGGCUACACACGUGCUACAAUGGACAAUACAAAGGGCAGCGAAACCGCGAGGUCAAGCAAAUCCCAUAAAGUUGUUCUCAGUUCGGAUUGUAGUCUGCAACUCGACUACAUGAAGCUGGAAUCGCUAGUAAUCGUAGAUCAGCAUGCUACGGUGAAUACGUCCCCGGGUCU